UACGUAGGAGGCGAGCGUUGUCCGGAGUUACUGGGCGUAAAGGGUGCGUAGGCGGCCUUGUAAGUCAGGGGUGAAAGACGGUAGCUCAACUAUCGCAGUGCCUUUGAUACUGCAGGGCUUGAAUGUACUUGAGGUAGGCGGAAUGUGACAAGUAGCGGUGAAAUGCAUAGAUAUGUCACAGAACACCAAUUGCGAAGGCAGCUUACUAAAGUAUGAUUGACGCUGAGGCACGAAAGCGUGGGGAUCAAACAGG
rnacentral:rRNA from 1 species